CAAAUACUUAUUUCCCUCACUGUAUAUGUAUGUGUAUGUAUGGAACAUUUCGCGUCCGCACAGCAAGGCUUUUUCACAGCUCCGUGACGGCAGCUCCAACUCCCAAUUGAUUCGCUUCUUGGAAGAUUAACUUUUAAUCAAACGUGCAAUUAUUUUUUGUUCCUUAUUUGUCAUGAUAAGUAUAGUCAGACGUCGCCUAUCCCGACCGUCACAUACACGCGCCGUGACCAAUGUCACCGCACCACGCGCCAAGGAGUAUUUGCGCUGCGUGGUGGGACUGUCGUCUUCUCGAGAUGUCCACGUAUCAGACCUCCACAACACCGCCUAAACCACAGUCCUCCGAGAGUCGGGUAUGCCACGUUGUGUUGUAUGGCCCCAUCUCUGAGACCCGACGCACACACGUGCCACGGGUAUGCCACGUUGUGUUGUAUGGCCCCAUCUCUGAGACCCGACGCACAAGCGUACCGCUAGAAAUGUGACGUGAUGUUCACGUAAGUGCUCGGAUUGUUCGGCAACAUUUUGUUUUAAAUUGAGUAUUGAGCACAUUGCAAGGUGAGGCUGCGGUGGCAGUGGUGUACGAGCAAAAAUAAACAUAAAAAGUGAACAACAUUUGUCAAGUAAACUUGUAGCCUUGAAAGAAAUAUAAAAUAGGCGACGUUUCGGGCAAUGAGACUUCUUCUUAGCGGAGUACUGUCCUCGUAAGGCAGUGUUGUUGAUAAUCCUGAUGAGCUGUUUUAGUUUAUUGAUCAACAAUUGCGUGACGAUGCAUGGAUUCAUCGAUGAAUAGCGAUUCCUGAGCUCACGGUGCGCACGUGUCAAAGUCGCAUCUGCAAGGAUCCGUGUUUUCCCCAUCCCUACACGUUGCACCUAACGGGUUCCGACGUCACUCCUGCAGACGAUAGCCGCCGCUAACGUUCGUCAAGAGGCAUUUUAUUUAUCUGUUCAACAGGAGCCCAGUACGGAACGCGGAUGGCGGAGAGGCGGAGACCAGAGACGUCGCGAGCCACAAAGCCGUGGUCACGUGGCCUCCGGGCAGGCGCCGAGAACGGUGACGAUGCUCACGGCACUGCUGAUCAUCUCAAGGAGGAAUUCCACAUUCCUACGGCAUGAACCAGGACAUCCACAGGACAAGCGCUGGCGACUUCUGCAAUGCGGUGUUCACGCAUCCUUCACCAGAUGUUAUUAUUUUUUACUGACCCCAGAAGGACGAUGACAAUGAUGAUGUUGCUGGGACCAUGUCAACCCAAAGCAUUUGGCACAUGUACACAAAAACAUAGCCAUAAUAAAAUAUAUAUAAAUAUUAAUCAUCCCCUUGCCAAUCCACUGCUGGAUGAUGGCGGUCACGCGGGAGCCGUUUGACCAAACAUCAGCAUGCCGGUCAGUGUGGGUUGGUAAGGGUGGAGAUCCAGGACCAGAACAAAUAUAUCUCACUUUCCACUCAUGUCAAAUGUGAGCGGCAAGCGAACUCGGGUUCACGGGUUCACAGCGCAAUGCGACUGACCACUGCGCACGCAUAAUUGUAGCGUGGCGUUGCAUUGCAGGCAAUUGGUUGCAUUCAAAUAAGUAUCUGCUCUGAAGUAGGUGUCCAAAGUAGUCACUUUAUGUAUCUUUUUGCACUGUACAAUCGCACCUCCAAUUGGCACGAGUGGCUACGUACAAUGCGAAAGAAGUUCAUACAUACAGAAAAGUAGUUUAGGCCACGCUUCUGCACUCUAUGUAUGUUGAACUUCUUUUGAACCGUACGUAUCUAGCCGUGCUAUUGCCAGUGUAACCUCAGAAUAUGCCCGCAUUUGUGAUCUGAAACGCGAAUAAAUGGCAAUUUAAACUCGU